UGUUUUGCCAUAGCUUAGCAGCAGAGCUCCUGCCUUUCAUGCAGAAGGCCCCUGGUUCAAUCCCCGGCCUCUCUAGGUAG